rnacentral:tRNA from 1 species
AGCUCCAUAGUGUAGUGGUUAUUACCUCUGCUUUACAUGCAGAAGGCCCUGGGUUCAAGCCUCAGUAGAACCA